AUUUUGGCCUUUUUAAAGGCCAUUAAAUUGCAUUUUACAUUUUUAU
rfam:Equus caballus chromosome 1, whole genome shotgun sequence.